UGUUGCCUUCCACUGAAUAAUUCCACUCUCAUGUUUGACUAAAAAUCUAAAACCCGUUACAUUCUGCAAAGGAUAGGAGCUACACAAUGAUGGAUGUGCAAACCACCGACACCGCGACAUACAGCUGGUGCAGAGCAACGAGGUGAGGGGAAGCCAAUACAUGGAGGAGGAGGGUCUUAUAAGAAGCUUGGACCUCCAGCAGGGAAGUGGUGUGAAGGUGGACUAGAUUAUCACUGAUCGUCACCCUCAGGUCCAAAAGUUCCUGAGAGAACGUAAAAUCCCCCACUACUAUGACGUAUGGCAUGGAGCAAAAGGGUGGUCAAAGAAGCUGGAACAACUUGGCAAAGACGAGGACUGUGCUUCGGUGAAAAAGUGGCAAAAAAGCAGAGUCAACCACCUGUGCUGCUGUGCCACAAGCUCCGUCUCCGGAACUGAGAAGGUAGCGAAAUGGAAGUCUUUGGUGAACCACAUUCAAGAUGUCCACAGU